rnacentral:rRNA from 1 species
UACGUAGGGUGCAAGCGUUGUCCGGAAUUAUUGGGCGUAAAGAGCUCGUAGGCGGUUUGUUGCGUCGGCUGUGAAAUCCCGAGGCUCAACCUCGGGUCUGCAGUCGAUACGAGCAAACUAGAGUGUUGCAGGGGAGACUGGAAUUCCUGGUGUAGCGGUGAAAUGCGCAGAUAUCAGGAGGAACACCGGUGGCAAAGGCGGGUCUCUGGGCAACAACUGACGCUGAGGAGCGAAAGCGUGGGGAGCAAACAGG